GGGUCGUUAGCUCAGUCGGUAGAGCAGCGGACUUUUAAUCCGUUGGUCGAGCGUUCGAGUCGCUCACGACCCACCA
rnacentral:tRNA from 1 species